rnacentral:rRNA from 1 species
UGGGGAAUAUUGGACAAUGGGCGCAAGCCUGAUCCAGCCAUGCCGCGUGAGUGAUGAAGGCCCUAGGGUUGUAAAGCUCUUUUGUGCGGGAAGAUAAUGACGGUACCGCAAGAAUAAGCACCGGCUAACUACGUGC